rnacentral:rRNA from 1 species
GACGAACGCUGGCGGCGUGCUUAACACAUGCAAGUCGAACGGAAAGGCCCUGCUUGCAGGGUACUCGAGUGGCGAACGGGUGAGUAACACGUGGGUGAUCUGCCCUGCACUUCGGGAUAAGCCUGGGAAACUGGGUCUAAUACCGGAUAGGAGACAUUUUUAGUGUGAUGGUUGGAAAGUUUUUUCGGUGUGGGAUGAGCUCGCGGCCUAUCAGCUUGUUGGUGGGGUAAUGGCCUACCAAGGCGGCGACGGGUAGCCGGCCUGAGAGGGUGGACGGCCACAUUGGGACUGAGAUACGGCCCAGGCUCCUACGGGAGGCAGCAGUGGGGAAUCUUGCACGAUGGGCGCCAGCCUGAUGCAGCGAGGCCGCGGGGGGGAUGACGGCCUUCGGGUUGUAAACUCCUUUCGCUAGGGACGAAGCUUUUUGUGACGGUACCUAGAUAAGAAGCACCGGCUAACUACGUG